UUCACUUCUCAGCCUUUUGGCUAAGAUCAAGUGUAGCUUCAAUGCUUAAACAUAACUUAAGAAAAAUGUCCUCUUUUUGUGUAAUACAUAAAUUUUAUUAUUUUGAGGUUUUUAUUAUACCCUUAACAGUUUUUUUUUUCCUCAGCUGGUAAAGACAAGGAGGACAUCUGGACAAGUGCCCAAGCUGACUUUCU